CACACCGCCCGUCACACUAUGGGAGUUGGUCUUACCCGACGGCGCUGCGCCAACCGCAAGGAGGCAGGCGCCCACGGUAUGGCUGGUGAUUGGGGUG
rnacentral:rRNA from 1 species